rnacentral:rRNA from 1 species
AACGAACGCUGGCGGCAUGCCUAACACAUGCAAGUCGAACGAUGCUUUCGGGCAUAGUGGCGCACGGGUGCGUAACGCGUGGGAAUCUGCCCUGGGGUUCGGGAUAACAGCGGGAAACUGCUGCUAAUACCGGAUGAUAUCGCGAGAUCAAAGAUUUAUCGCCAUGGGAUGAGCCCGCGUCGGAUUAGGUAGUUGGUGGGGUAAGAGCCUACCAAGCCGACGAUCCGUAGCUGGUCUGAGAGGAUGAUCAGCCACACUGGGACUGAGACACGGCCCAGACUCCUACGGGAGGCAGCAGUGGGGAAUAUUGGACAAUGGGCGCAAGCCUGAUCCAGCAAUGCCGCGUGAGUGAUGAAGGCCUUAGGGUUGUAAAGCUCUUUUACCCGGGAUGAUAAUGACAGUACCGGGAGAAUAAGCCCCGGCUAACUCCGUG